rnacentral:rRNA from 1 species
UACUGCCUACGGGGCGCAGCAGUGAGGAAUAUUGGUCAAUGGCCGAGAGGCUGAACCAGCCAAGUCGCGUGAGGGAUGACGGCCCUACGGGUUGUAAACCUCUUUUGUCGGGGAGCAAAGAGAGUCACGUGUGGCUCAUUGAGAGUACCCGAAGAAAAAGCAUCGGCUAACUCCGUGCCAGCAGCCGCGGUAAUACGGAGGAUGCGAGCGGUAUCCGGAUUUAUUGGGUUUAAAGGGUGCGUAGGCGGAAUAUCAAGUCAGCGGU